GUCUGCAGAGUUUACUGCUGUCUUUUUGUCUGUGCCCUGCCCCCAGAGGUGGAGCCUACAGAGGCAGGCAGGCCUCCUUGAGCUGGGGUGGGCUCCACCCAGUUCGAGCUUCCAGGCUGCUUUGUUUACCUAAGCAAGCCUGGGCAAUGGCGGGCGCCCCUCCCCCAGCCUUGCUGCCGCCUUGCAGUUUGAUCUCAGACUGCUGUGCUAGCAAUCAGCGAGACUCUGUGGGCGUGGGCGUAGGACCCUCCGAGCCAGGUGCAGGAUAUAAUCUCGUGGUGCGCAGUUUUUUAAGCCCGUCGGAAAAGCGCAGUAUUCGGGUGGGAGUGGCCUGAUUUUCCAGGUGCGUCCGUCACCCCUUUCUUUGACUCGGAAAGGGAACUCCCUGACCCCUUGCGCUUCCCAAGUGAGGCAAUGCCUCGCCCUGCUUCGGCUCGCGCACGGUGCGCGCACCCACUGACCUGCGCCCACUGUCUGGCUCUCCCUAGUGAGAUGAACCCGGAACCUCAGAUGGAAAUGCAGAAAUCGCCCUUCUUCUGCGUCGUUCACACUGGGAGCUGUAGACCGGAGCUGUUUGUAUUCGGCCAUCUUGGCUCCUUCCCUGCGCUUUUUAAAUAAGAGACCUGGGGGAUUUUAGAACAGGGCUUUCAAGGUAAUGAAGGAAGAGAAUCUUCUUUGGACUUCUUUUUGCUCCAGAUGUGGAGAAGGCAACUUCCCGGAGUCUCUACCAGUGAGAAGGCUACAGAAUCAUGGGCAGAUAAAGUCUCGCUCUGUGGCCAUAGCUCACUGCAGCUUCAAAUUCCUGCGCUCAAGUAGUCCUCCCACCUCAGCUUCCCAAGUAGAUGGGACUACAGCGAUGGGGUCUCACUAUGUUGCCCAGGCUGGUCUCAAACUACAGUGGCUCAAACAAUCCUUCCAGUACUGCCUCCCGAGGUGCUGGGAUUAUAAGCAUGAGCCACAGCACCUGGCCACGGAGUACAUUUUAAAUGUCUUAACAAGACGUGACAGAAAGUCUAGGUAGAAAGCAGCUAUCUUUGAUGACAGAAUGAUAAAGAAACCCACCUUUCUCCCAACAAGCCAUAUACACCCUGAGCUCCAAAUAACCCCGUGAUUUUGGAUGAUUGAUUAUGGGAAUGCUGCUUUCACUGUAUAUCCAAGCUCUCCUGGCCUCAGCGGAUAAGUAUAUGAGAGCACAGUUUUCCUGGUGUCAGGAUAUGAAGAUCCAGGGAACAAAGAACCUCAAAGAACAACACCUGGAUUGUCAAGGUUUGGCCAGCAGUGCACUUUCUCCAACCUUACAGUCAUACGCAAGGUGAAAAACUCUCUUGUUUUCUCUUUUCCUAAGUUUUCUAAAAGAAGAAAGAAAAGGGACAAAGACAGAUAAGUGGAAUUUAAGAAAAAUGAAAUAUAAACAAACUACACUUUUCCCUGAACAGAAAAGCUCAAUUAAGCAAAGACAGAGAGAGGAGACAUGUAGGAUGCUAAUUUGAACCAUAGCCCCAUGUCUAAUGCUUUUAGCCAAGGAAAGAAGAGAAAAGCAAAAAAGAAAUCUGAGUCAGAGGGAAGAUGUCAUGGUGAGUUUCAAUGGGAAGAAUUCCUUAUUAAUUCUAAAGAACACGAUGCAACAUGGAUUUAAUUAUACAAGUCAACCCACCCACAUUCCUCCGCUGCCUUUCACACACAUGGGCUUCUGAGGAUGAUGAAAGGUGGGUGGGGAGAAAGGGAAAAGGAAGCAGAGCACAGGAUGGCUAGGGCCACUGAGAAGACAGCUCUACCCUAGAGCUCUGUGGCUGUGGCUUCACCCUUUCUAAACAUGAGCGCCGCGUUGCCCAACUCCAGUUGCUGGAAUAGCACCUGACCAUGGCCUAGCAAAUUCAUUCACCUUGGGUCCGGGACACUUCUAUGUUGUUCUAUUUACUGUGAGGGGAAUUUCUUAAGCUUUGAGAAAUGGAGAGGAGGAUAGAUAGGAGCUUAAAAAAAAUCUCUCAGCUGCUUUUAAUUUCCUAUGGGAAACACAAUGCAAUCUCACCAAGUUUUUCACUAAGAGCAAGUCUCCAUUAAAACUCCAAAGAGUUUAAAUGUAUUAGAAAUUUGAAACACUGCUCAGGUUUUCCUAAAGUUUCCUUGGGACUUUUAACCUAUACUCUCAUCAAUACCCCAAUCUCUGCACCAGCAAAAUCAUUAAAAAUGUCCCAUAACCAAGACCCCAUUGUUUCUUCCUGCUUUUUCUUUCACUUUCAGACAAUACCUGUGAGAGUCCUAGCUGAGAGAGGCCCACUGACCGUUCUAUGCUUUAGCUAACUAUCUCUGGACAGUUUUAGACUUUUAAACUGAGGACAUCCCACUUGGAGAGAAAGCCAUGAUGGAACUAUGAAGUCACAGGGCAUCAGCAUGAGGGUUCAGUUGCCGAUAACAAAACAAACAAACACCCACUCUAGCUGUCUCAAGCAAAAGGAAUGUGAUGCAGGGAACUGUGUGCUUAGAAAACCUUUGAAAGGCUUUAGGCAGACUUCCAUGAAAGACUCUCAGAACAGCACCACCAAACUGGUCUGUCAAAGUAGCUACUUCAUCUCAACCAAUUUUUGAAAGGUGAUUUUCAAAAAUUUUUCAAUGACUCAUUUUUAAAAACUAAAAUUAUUUUGAGAUAAUUUUAGAUUUUCAUGCAAGUAAGUAUUUAAGAAAUAAUAUGGAUUGCUGGCAAGAUGGCCGAAUAGGAACAGGUCCACUCUGCACCCCCCAGUGAGAUCAACACAGAAGGCAGAUGAUUUCUGCAUUUCCAACUGAGGUAACCAGUUCAUCUCAUUGGGACUGGUUGGACAGUGGGUGUAGCCCAUGGAGGGUGAGCUAAAGCAGGGUGGGGUGUUGCCUUACCUCGGAAGCACAAGGGGUUGGGGAUUUCUCUCCCUUACCCAAGGGAAGCUGUGAGGGACUGUGCCUGAGGAAUGGAGCACUCUGGCCCAGAUACUGCACUUUUCCCACAGUCUUCGCAACCCGCAGACCAGGAGAUUCCCUCUGGUGUCUACACCACCAGAGCCCUGGGUUUCAAGCACAAAACUGGGCAACUGUUCUGGGCAGACACUGAACUAGCUGCAGGAGGUUUUUCUUCCCCCCCCCCCCCCCCCCCC